rnacentral:rRNA from 1 species
AGAGUUUGAUCCUGGCUCAGGAUGAACGCUGGCGGCGUGCCUAAUACAUGCAAGUCGAGCGAAUGGAUUAAGAGCUUGCUCUUAUGAAGUUAGCGGCGGACGGGUGAGUAACACGUGGGUAACCUGCCCAUAAGACUGGGAUAACUCCGGGAAACCGGGGCUAAUACCGGAUAACAUUUUGAACUACAUGGUUCGAAAUUGAAAGGCGGCUUCGGCUGUCACUUAUGGAUGGACCCGCGUCGCAUUAGCUAGUUGGUGAGGUAACGGCUCACCAAGGCAACGAUGCGUAGCCGACCUGAGAGGGUGAUCGGCCACACUGGGACUGAGACACGGCCCAGACUCCUACGGGAGGCAGCAGUAGGGAAUCUUCCGCAAUGGACGAAAGUCUGACGGAGCAACGCCGCGUGAGUGAUGAAGGCUUUCGGGUCGUAAAACUCUGUUGUUAGGGAAGAACAAGUGCUAGUUGAAUAAGCUGGCACCUUGACGGUACCUAACCAGAAAGCCACGGCUAACUACGUGCCAGCAGCCGCGGUAAUACGUAGGUGGCAAGCGUUAUCCGGAAUUAUUGGGCGUAAAGCGCGCGCAGGUGGUUUCUUAAGUCUGAUGUGAAAGCCCACGGCUCAACCGUGGAGGGUCAUUGGAAACUGGGAGACUUGAGUGCAGAAGAGGAAAGUGGAAUUCCAUGUGUAGCGGUGAAAUGCGUAGAGAUAUGGAGGAACACCAGUGGCGAAGGCGACUUUCUGGUCUGUAACUGACACUGAGGCGCGAAAGCGUGGGGAGCAAACAGGAUUAGAUACCCU